UUGGGGUGUGGGAAGGGUUACGAGAGAGAGAGAGAGAGAGAGAGAGAGAGAGAGAGAGAGAGGGGUUCAUUAUUUUUUUUGAGAGAUAGGUAGCACACUAUCCGCUUAGUUUAUUUUAUUUAGAAAUAAACUUAGCUGAAAAUGUGAAUCAACUAGAAUUCGAACUUGAGACCUCAGGUACGAGCCACCAAACCUUUUGCCACUUGCUCCAGGGACGGUCGGUAGAGAGCCAACUAAUAGCACUUGAUAAAAAGUGAGCUUAUUAAAUUUGAUCGCCAUUUAGUAAUUAAAUUUGACUAGAUUUAGUGAAUCAAAUAUAUCUUGAUAAAAAGUGAGCCAACUGAUAGCACUUCACUAUUAACAUAGGCCAAUAUAGUCUUUUUUUUGAAAGAGAGAAAGAUAAUAUGCCAUAUGUAUCAUUUAUUUUUGGGAAAACUUAAAAAACCCCCUUGUGGUUUCACUUUUUUCACUUUAGUAUUCUGUGGUUUAAAGUGUAUCAAGUUAGUACCCCGUGGUUUCUCACUUUAUCAAUUUAGUACCUUGUGGUUUAAAGUGUAUCAAGUUAGUACCCUGUGGUUUUAUUUUUGUAUCAAGUUAGUAUUCUGUGGUUUUUUUCCACAGGGUACUAAAGUGAUAAAGUGCGAAACCACAGAAUACUAAAGUGAUAAAGUGUGAAACCACAGGUACUAAUUUGAUACCUUUUAUACCACAGGGUACUAAAGUGAAAAAAAGUGAAACUACAUGGUACUAACUUGAUACACUUUAAACCACUAGGUACUAAAGUGAAAAACAGUGAAACCACAAGGGGGGUAUUUGAAGUUUUCCCUUUAUUUUUUUUUAGUAAAAAUGUAUGAAGCUUAUUUGAACUAUAUAUAGAUCAUUUUGAUUUUGGCUAUCAAAUCCUUCAAAAAUACCUAACUUUACAAUUUGUUUGAUUUGAGUUAGUCAGUGACGCUUUGACUCUAUAAUUUAAGCUAAUUACGUAUGUUAAUGAAUUUACAGUUAUGACAAUUGCAUGAAAUAUAUACUAAAUAAAUCUAUAAAGAUAAAUUACGUAUUCAAAUUGUUGUUCAUUGACUUAAGUCAAAUAAAUUGAACUGUUAGGUAGUAAAAUUAAAAUUUUGAAAGGUUAGAUAUCUAAAUCCAAAUGGUUUAUAGUUCGGAUAAAUUUUAUAUAGCUUUAUCUUAGAAAUAAACUUAGCUGAAAAUGUGAAACAAUUAUGAUUCGAACUUAGGAUCUCAGAUAUCAAUCAUCAAACUCUUUAUCACUUGCACUAUGGAUGAUCAGUAAUAUAGUCUUUAAAAAGGAAAAUCUUCAGAUCUACUAUUUAAAAAUGUGUGAAUUAGACUGUAAGAACUUAUGCCCUUUAUCACUUGCACUAGAGAUGAUCAGUAAUAUAGUCUUUUGAUAAGUAAUAUAGUCUUUAAAAAGGAAAAUCUUCUGAUGUACUAUUUAAAAAUGUGUGACUAUAA
rnacentral:lncRNA from 1 species